rnacentral:tRNA from 1 species
GAGGGUGUAGCUCAGGGGUAGAGUGCGUGCUUAGCAAGCUUGAGGUCCGGGGUUCAAUACCCAGUACCUCCA